rnacentral:tRNA from 1 species
GCGUGUGUAGCUCAAUUGGAUAGAGCAUCGGUCUUCGAAACCGAGGGUUGCAGGUUCGAGUCCUGCCACGCGCG